AUUGAACGCUGGCGGCAUGCCUUACACAUGCAAGUCGAACGGCAGCACGGGAGCAAUCCUGGUGGCGAGUGGCGAACGGGUGAGUAAUAUAUCGGAACGUGCCCAGUUGUGGGGGAUAGCCCGGCGAAAGCCGGAUUAAUACCGCAUACGACCUACGGGUGAAAGCGGGGGAUCGCAAGACCUCGCGCAAUUGGAGCGGCCGAUAUCAGAUUAGCUAGUUGGUGGGGUAAAGGCUCACCAAGGCGACGAUCUGUAGCUGGUCUGAGAGGACGACCAGCCACACUGGGACUGAGACACGGCCCAGACUCCUACGGGAGGCAGCAGUGGGGAAUUUUGGACAAUGGGCGCAAGCCUGAUCCAGCCAUGCCGCGUGUGGGAAGAAGGCCUU
rnacentral:rRNA from 1 species